CAAACGCGAUAGCGUAAAGAUUUGUGUGCAACAUUUUGCAGAUAAUGACAAAGUUCAAAGAGGUUGCAGGACUGAAACUUAACUUGCAGCCUUACCGAUCAGCUGACGAUGCUAAUUUAGUUUGGCUACAGCAAGUCUUCAUGAAAGACUUGUGUGAAUGAAAACUACCCAUAUGUUUUUCUUUCCUCCGAUUUUAGAAGACAAAUUUAUUCUGAGGGAUUUCGCAUA